AGUGAACGCUGGCGGUAGGCCUAACACAUGCAAGUCGAACGGCAGCACAGUAAGAGCUUGCUCUUACGGGUGGCGAGUGGCGGACGGGUGAGGAAUACAUCGGAAUCUACUUUUUCGUGGAGGAUAACGUAGGGAAACUUACGCUAAUACCGCAUACGACCUACGGGUGAAAUCAAGGGAUCUUCAGACCUUGCGCGAUUGAAUGAGCCGAUGUCGGAUUAGCUAGUUGGCGGGGUAAAGGCCCACCAAGGCGACGAUCCGUAGCUGGUCUGAGAGGAUGAUCAGCCACACUGGAACUGAGACACGGUCCAGACUCCUACGGGAGGCAGCAGUGGGGAAUAUUGGACAAUGGGCGCAAGCCUGAUCCAGCCAUACCGCGUGGGUGAAGAAGGCCUUCGGGUUGUAAAGCCCUUUUGUUGGGAAAGAAAAGCAGCAGGUUAAUACCCCGCUGUUCUGACGGUACCCAAAGAAUAAGCACCGGCUAACUUCGUG
rnacentral:rRNA from 1 species